AUUGAACGCUGGCGGCAUGCCUUACACAUGCAAGUCGAACGGUAACAGGUCUUCGGAUGCUGACGAGUGGCGAACGGGGGAGGAAUACAUCGGAACGUGCCCGAGAGUGGGGGAUAACGAGGCGAAAGCUUUGCUCAUCCCGCAUACGAUCCCAGGAUGAAAUAAGGGGAACGCAAGGCCUUGCGCUCACGGAGCGGCGGGUGGCAGAUGAGGUAGUUGGUGGGAUAAAAGCUUACCAAGCCGGCGAUCUGUAGCUGGUCUGAGAGGACGACCAGCCACACUGGGACGGAGACACGGCCCAGACUCCUACGGGAGGCAGCAGUGGGGAAGUUUGGACAAUGGGCGCAAGCCUGAUCCAGCCAUGCCGCGUGCAGGAUGAAGGCCUUCGGGUUGUAAACUGCUUUUGUACGGAACGAAAAGACUCUGGUUAAUACCUGGGGUCCAUGACGGUACCGUAAGAAUAAGCACCGGCUAACUACGUGCCAGCCGCCGCGGUAAAAC
rnacentral:rRNA from 1 species